rnacentral:rRNA from 1 species
UACGAAGGGGGCGAGCGUUGUUCGGAUUUACUGGGCGUAAAGGGCGCGUAGGCGGCCACCGCAAGUCAGUUGUGAAAUCUCUGGGCUUAACCCAGAACGGUCAGCUGAUACUGCGGGGCUAGAGUGCAGAAGGGGCAACUGGAAUUCUCGGUGUAGCGGUGAAAUGCGUAGAUAUCGAGAGGACCACCUGCGGCGAAGGCGGUUUGCUGGGCUGACACUGACGCUGACAGCGCGAAAGCUAGGGGAGCGAACGGG